GAUGAAGAACGUAGUGAAAUGCGAUACGUAAUGUGAAUUGCAGAAUUCAGUGAAUCAUCGAGUCUUUGAACGCACAUUGCGCCCCCUGGUAUUCCGGGGGGCAUGCCUGUCCGAGCGUCAUUGCUGCCCUCAAGCACGGCUUGUGUGUUGGGCCUCCGUCCUCCUCCCGGGGGCCGGGCCCGAAAGGCAGCGGCGGCACCGCGUCCGGUCCUCGAGCGUAUGGGGCUUCGUCACCCGCUCUUGUAGGCCCGGCCGGCGCUUGCCGACACAUCAAUCUUUUUUCCAGGUUGACCUCGGAUCAGGUAGGGAUACCCGCUGAACUUAAGCAUAUCAAUAAGCGGAGGA
rnacentral:misc_RNA from 1 species